GUUUGAUUGCGAGCUGCGGGCUGUGCAGGUCAGCUGUGGCUUUCAUCACUCAGUGGUGCUGAUGGAGAAUGGAGAUGUCUACACGUUUGGAUACGGCCAACACGGGCAGCUUGGACAUGGAGAUGUCAACUCUAGGGGCUCGCCGACUCUAGUGCAGGCUCUUCCAGGCCCAAGUAUCCAAGUCACAGCAGGCAGCAACCACACAGUAGUCCUCCUCAUGGAUGGGCAGGUCUUCACGUUCGGUAGUUUCUCGAAAGGGCAGUUGGGCAGG